rnacentral:tRNA from 1 species
AGUAGAAUGCCUGACUAAAGGGUUAUUUUGAUAGAAUAAAUUAUGUAAAUAUCUUACUUCUACUA